GAAGAUACAGUAACCCCAAAAUUAUUUCUAAAUAAUUCUCUUUUACAACAAUUACUUGUAAGAAAUAUGUUACAAAUUAAAGAAAGAAAACAUAUAUCUUGACACCGACCCCAUUUCUAUCCGAUACAAACUAAUGGCAAAAGAAGACGCCAUACGCUCACGACUGCAGAAAACGCCGGACAACACAUAACCAACAUAUACUAAAACAACAAUCAAACACCAAACUAGUUCAACCUCUGAAUCUCAUUCUUUCAAAACAGAAUCUCACUGAACCACUUGUUCUCACAACUCGGUCACCAAACUGAGCUGACUCACUCCCGGUUUCUGAAACUUUCCCAUCCCAAUUUCAUUAUCCAAUUCUUCAACCAUUUCCCAAAGAGUCUCAACUGAUAUCUUCUUAACAGAAAAUAACUGCAAUAAUCUCUCUUUGGAAGCAGUUAACCUGUUAAUAACAGAACCCAACUCAACCAACUCGUUCCAACUCAGCAACUUAACCCGUACCUUAAACUCACUGAGUCGGAUCACUAACUCGUUCACCGUCAAUAAAUAGUCGUGUGCGAGCAACUCCAUGAUACCAUAAACUAACCGGUUUCUUUCCACUAAUAAUUCAUCAGGAACUUUGCAUAUUUCAUCAAUCACACCAAUUAAUAAACCAAAAUCUCUGAUUAAAUCAGAGGUCAUGAUUGAAGACAACAAAUCUUGUUGUUUUUCUUUAGAAACUGUAAAACAAGACGAAACCAAACUUUUAUUUUUCAACGUGAAAAGAAUGGUUUCGAUGUAGCGCGCGUACCACCGGACCCAUGCGGAUAACAUCCACGUGGCAGCCGAUGAUUUGUCGCGGAAAUUGGAGAGUUUAAGGUUGUUAUGACCGUUGGCUGAAGGGAAAACUGCGAGCUGGUCUUUGAGGAUAAAGGGGCCGCGUGUGAUGAUGACGUGGACGGUGAAGAGGCACUUUAAGGCGACGUAGGUGUUUUUGGUGCGGUGGAGGCGAGUGGUUAAGGAGUGGAUGAUGAUGGAAGCAGUGGCGCGUGAGCUGUCACCGAGGGUAAGGAGAGUGGUUAAGUGGUGGUCGGUGGGAGGAGUGGUGGGGGAGUGGGUGGUGGUGCGGAGGACGGCGAUGUGGAGGUAGGAAGUGGUGGGUUUUGAGAGGGUGAGUUUUGAGAGUGAGAGUCCGUUACAAGUCGCUGAUGAUAGAGCUUGUCUUUAAUGGUGCCGAUGAGGUUCCUCAUGGUUUUAAUUUAAUGGGAAUGAUUGAUUGAUAUGGCAUUUUGGAGGAAAUAGAGGAGAGAGAGAGAAUUUGACCGUUUGGGGAAAAUUUGGCUUGAAAUGAUGGUGUUCAAGA
rnacentral:lncRNA from 1 species